AUAUUGCGGGCGCAAGGAAAACCCUAAAUGAAUGGGUUCAUGGAUGGUACUGUGCAAAAAAUUAUAAGGAUUUUAGUUUAAGCGGUACAAGCGAAUCGUGUGUGCGGGUAAGCCGCGUUUAUCCAACGCGCUUAUACGGGUAGAUACUAGUCCAAGGCUUGUUAUCUUGUAAAGGCUUUAUUUUGGGCUAAAAAGGCGGAUAUAUUAAUUUCCUGACCUGAAAGUCAGUAUUUAUGCGGGUCUAGACGGUGUUUAACUUUUUUAAAAUGAUGAAAAUAAUUUUUAAGUGAAUAGAGCCAUAUUUUAAACAGGAGAAUCUAAUCGCUGGUUAAACAAAAAAGACCAAAACCCCAACGGUAUUAUAGUGCU
rnacentral:misc_RNA from 1 species